AUUGAACGCUGGCGGCAGGCCUAACACAUGCAAGUCGAGCGGAUGAAGGGAGCUUGCUCCUGGAUUCAGCGGCGGACGGGUGAGUAAUGCCUAGGAAUCUGCCUGGUAGUGGGGGAUAACGUCCGGAAACGGGCGCUAAUACCGCAUACGUCCUGAGGGAGAAAGUGGGGGAUCUUCGGACCUCACGCUAUCAGAUGAGCCUAGGUCGGAUUAGCUAGUUGGUGGGGUAAAGGCCUACCAAGGCGACGAUCCGUAACUGGUCUGAGAGGAUGAUCAGUCACACUGGAACUGAGACACGGUCCAGACUCCUACGGGAGGCAGCAGUGGGGAAUAUUGGACAAUGGGCGAAAGCCUGAUCCAGCCAUGCCGCGUGUGUGAAGAAGGUCUUCGGAUUGUAAAGCACUUUAAGUUGGGAGGAAGGGCAGUAAGUUAAUACCUGGCUGUUUUGACGUGACCAACAGAAUAAGCACCGGCGAACUUCGU
rnacentral:rRNA from 1 species